rnacentral:lncRNA from 1 species
UUUUCAUAAAUCACUGACUAUUUAAAACAAACACCCGCAAAAACAAUUGUGAAUGACUGCUUACAAAAUCACAAUAUUUUCUUUAAGCAAUUAUCGAGCGAAUAAAAUGGGCAGAAAAAAACAAAACCAGGAGAAAAGGGGACGAGGGCAAGAGAAGGGUACUCGGAUGCAGUUUUCCGUCAUGCGAACGGCAUCCGGGCUUUCCGAUGGCAAUUCCUCCGCGGCGGAGCACAGGAGCCUCUGGUUCCGUUGUAUCCGGCCGUGAACUAACGGCGUUAUCCGGCGGAGCAGAGAUCUUGACAUCGCCCUUCUUCUCUUAUCCUCCUCUUCCUUCCCUUCCUCUAUGUCCCUAACUCGCAGGCGCAUGCGAAGCUUUUCUCGCUAUCCCUCUCGCUCGCAGCGUGGAACGAUGCAAGCCCUUCUAGCUAGGGCUCUCAACGGGCCGAGCUGCUCGGGCACGGCUCGG